UUUUUUGGGUUUUUUUAUUUCACAAAUUGAAUGGAGUACAUGUAUCUAUUAUCAAUUCCAUAUAUUUGAUAAAAUAUACAUAGGAGGUAAAAUUUAAAAUUCUGAAAUAAAAAUUUGAAAAAUUUCGACUUUUUUAGCAAAAAAUCACCUAAAUUCUGCUAAAACUGCCAACAAAGGAUAUAAUGUGGUGUUCAACAAUCAGCAUUAAUCAGCACUAGCCCUGACACACCUGCGUUUCCUUGUCAAAUUUUGUCACAUUGUGACUGUCGGUAUGAAGUGUCAGCUAUUUAGAAUCGAGUGUAUAUGAAUGUGUAGUUACCUGGAAGUCUCCAAAUUUCACGGCCUUAUCUUUUCACAAACAAUUUGAUAUUUCUUAUCUAAUAAAAAUGAUAUUAUAUAUAUAUAAAUAUCAAAACAUUUGUACAAAUAGCGCAGAGCAACAUAAUUUUUUUCUUAUUAUUUGACAGAUAUUUAUUGACGUGAUAAAUCAAUAAGCUUGUUAGAAUCAUAUUACAAAUUUCAUUUUCCCCCUAAAAAUUACUUUUUUAAAAAUAAUGAUAAAAUUGCCGUUCAACUUCCAGAAAAAAAGCUUUUCUGUAGAGAAACCCAAGGUAGAUAACUGCACAGUGCUAGUUCACCAGUGGGAUUUGCACGAGUCGUAAAAUAGUUGUCAAGAAAAGGGGGUGUAUAAAUUAGAGUUACAUUAUAAAGCUUCCGAAAAGGCAUCUGCAAAUGCAUUGAUAAAGAGUAGAUAAGCUAUAAAAUCAUUAAAUUAACACAUAAAGCUAGAGGAAAACACGAAAAUCUGUCCUUUAAUGUGAUGAUACACGAUUGUCUUUUAUAGUGGCUAUAAUUAGAAAAUAGUGCAUUCCCUACGAGGUAAUCCCCAAGUUUGACGUCACAUUCUCCUAUUAUGAGAGGAUCCCUGACGUCAUAUGUAAUUAAAUAUAGAUGACAAUCGAUGGCUUUGGAAGUAAACGAUGGGCAAUUUUUGAAUGCUGCAAGAAAAAAAAACGUAUGCAGUUUGCAAAAUCGAUCCGUCCGACGUAAAACUCAAUUGAUUUUUGCCUUCGCUAUUGGCUACACGAACGUAAUCUUCUGCGUCAGUGAGCAAAGUGCGUGAGCAAUCUCAGUCACUAGAAAAUAACUUCAAAAUGUAUAUAUAAGGAACUUUUCUUAGCCGCCGCAAACAAUUAAAUAUUUAUGAAAGAUUUUGAUGCAAAGAAUGACUUUAAAAUUUAAUUUGCAGCAUCCGAAAGAGGAUGGAUUCUUUGGGGAGAGAGUUGUCACCUACAGGUAUUCAAAUGCUUACAUCUGCAUAAUGACCAAAGAUGAAAAACACAAUUUGGAUCGCACAUAGCAGGACCCUCUAUCUCUUCUUACAAAAUGUCACAGAACACCCUCAUCCAAUAUGGUAAUUAGGGGUUUGUUAGCAUUUGGAUGCAACCUUUUGCUGACAUUAAACAAAAUGUCAAAAUUACAAGUUAAGCAUACCAGGCUCCGAUCGUUGCACAAUAUAUAACGGGUAUUGUUGCAGAGAAGGAUAUUGUUUUAUUUUCAAAUGCGAGCAUACAAUGUGCAAAUUUUGUGAUUUUCCCCCAAACAAAUAAAAAUGGAUGGAUUAAAGGUGUUGUCUCUUCGGCGUCAUGAAUUAACAGUAACUCCACGUGGGUGUUUUGUGAGGAUAUCGUUCAUAUAAAGAAAAUGUGAUUUUGUUUGAAUUUCUUUCCUCGAUGGAAGAUUCGGAGAACACUCAGUGGGAAUUAUCAUCUUGGUUUCAGUGAGCAGGGUGAAUGACCAUAUUAGAUUUGUAGAUUAUAUAUUUGGACCAUAUUAGAUUUGUAGAUUAAAUAUUUGGGACCAUAUUAGAUUUGUAGAUUAUAUAUUUGGUACCACAAUGAUUGUUUACAGUUGUGCAAAUGCAAGACAAUUUCGAAUGAACAUUAAAUAUGUUAUAAGAUACAA